AAACGAAUAUUAUAUUUGAGCAUAAAUCAAUAUUUUUGAAUCCCAUCUGAAUGAUUGAUUGAUCCAUUGAUGUGAAUCCUGAUGACAGAGAUCCAUGUUCCUGUUGGAGUCAGUGGUUGCAUUUCCAUAGAAACACUUUGCAUCAGCAGCUCCAUGCUCCAGUGCUCUGGGAGACUUUAUAGUCCUGAGAGUUGAAGACUGGAUGACUGACAGCUGUCCUUCAUCACAGCAGAAGACACAGAAAUCCUCCUCCUCCUCCUCAGUCAAACCAUGACUUUGAUCUGCGUCCUCAUCUGGACUCUCCUCUGCUUCAUUCAGGGUUCUGUUGGACAAAAUGUUGUUGUAACUCAGCCAGCAGCUAAAUCAGUGCAGCUCGAUCAAAAGGUCACUAUAGACUGUAAGGCCAGUCAACAAGUAGGCUGGUCUGGUUCACAAUACUAUCUUGCCUGGUACCAUCAGAAAUCUGGAGAAGCUCCUAAAGCUCUGAUCUACAGAACAUCAGACAGAUAUUCAGGAAUCUCCUCCAGAUUCAGUGGAAGUGGAUCAGGAAAUGGAAUUGACUUCACUCUGACCAUCAGUGGAGUCCAGGCUGAAGAUUCAGGAGUUUAUUACUGUCAGAGUUAUCACUAUAUCAACAGUCAGCGUGUGUUCACACAGUGAAAAGUCAUCGUACAAAAACCUCCUUCAUCAGAAUGAACUGAAACUCAUUUGAAUGUUUCUGCCUCAAGUUCUUCCAGAGACUGAAACACUGACUGAUUUACUGUAGACACACUAAACACACAAAGAAAGACACAAU